GUGCUUGUAGCUCAGUAGGAUAGAGCGACCGCCUCCUAAGCGGUAGGCCGCAGGUUCAAAUCCUGUCAGGCACA
rnacentral:tRNA from 1 species